CCUUUUUUCCCAAUCCAUCCAUCCAUCCAUUCCAGAUUGAGAGAGAGCUCGUAUCCUUCCUUCCUCCAGCUCCCUCCAGAUCGAGAAAGAGACCGCCGCCGCCACCUCCCUCCAGCGGAGCUCGCCACCGUCCAUGGCCUCCCCCACGCCCUCCUGCUCCGCCCGCUCCUCCUCCCUCCACGCCCCCGCGCGCCGUUGCCGAUUUCCCAAAUCAGACCGCCUCCCCGGUUCAUUCCUUCCUCCCCUCCCACCCACCCGCCUCGGUGCCGCCACCCAACUCACCGACGACCUUAUGCAUCGCCGCCGGCCUCCGCUCCCUCCCCUCCCACACGCCCGACGCCCCACUCUCUUCACCUCCCCUUCUCCCCCUACCCCCAGUAGCACCCAGGCCCAACAGCACAUGCGGCGGCCGGAUCCUAGAUCCAACACGCCGGCCUGUGCCUCACCGGAGGAGCACACGCAGAGUGAGGUGGGCUGCCCGCGUGCACACGCCAUGGACCUCCGUCACGGGACGCUAACGCGUCUCGUCUGCCCGGCCGCGUCACCAGACGGUUGCCUGCCUGCUCCCUGCCGACGCCAUCCCGUUCUCGGGACGCCGCGCCUACCACGCCCCGACGUCCCUUCUCCCUCUCCCCUGCGCCGGCCCCGUCGUCCGUCCCCGAGAUGGAGAGGGUGCUAAAGGAUGAUGCCAUCCAGGAGAAGGGUGAACGCGCCAGGGUGCCUUAUAUUUUACUAUUCUUAGGUGGCGGGCUUAUACGGCAUCGCGAGCAGGAGGGCCAUGAGGGGUUUGCUGCUCUGCUCCUAGGGCGACCAAGAGGUCCUGCCCCGAGCUCAAGCACGUUCACGCCGACCCACCACGACAGAUGACCAAGCCCAAGGAGGAAGCAGCUGCUCAUCACUGAGGACAAGUAACUCCAGCAGGUGAAGUAUGAAGUGUGAAGCCGUGAAGCCUAUCAGCAAGAGUAGCAUAUUAUGUAUUGUAAUAUCAGGCAGAGUGUAAUAUUAGUCAGAGUAGCAUAUUAUGUAUUGUAAAUUUAGUGUUGUUUUGGAUGAAUUUCAUUUGCUCUAUAAUCUAUUUGAAACAUUGAUUGUGUAUAUAAUUUCAAUACCUAUGAAAUGGAGACCUGACCAGGGGGACCCACUUAUGUAAAUUGGUUGACAAAUUUUGAAA